UUUUUUUUUUUUUUUUUAAUAAGAUAUCAGUGAGACAUUCUACCCCACACGGCUAGAGAAGGACAUCUGGAGCCUUGUAAAGGGAAAGACAUGAUAGCUAAGAAGGCCGAGGGACUUCAUUCUGAGGAACAGCCACUUCUGGCCAGGAGAAAAUAAUAACCCCUGUCCUGCCUGCCAAGGGACAGGUUAGGGGUCUUUGGUGCUUCCAACCUCUGACCAACCCAGAGUACACUACACACCGAAGCCCCGUGGCCUUGUGCAGCCAAGCGAGGCCCUACUGAUGGUGCGGGACAGGGAUGUGUCCAUUUCAGAAGAGCCACAUUGUCAUUGUACUGGCAGCUCCCAGCCAAGCCACCGGCGUCACUGUGUCUCAUAUUAACCUGUGCAUACUGUGAGCGACCUUUGUAUGCCUGUGUCCUGUGCAGACUCGGAGCUUUGACCUCAGGCCUUGCUCCUGAUGUCUCCUCUGCAGCAGCUGAAGGACUUUUUAAUGCAUGUACAUUAAACUAAAACUCCUCCGGGUUCUACAAGAGUCGGGUGGGCAAACCUCUUCUUGAUCCAUGUUCGCCCUCCCCCAGAAAUAAACCACUUCCCUU
rnacentral:lncRNA from 1 species